rnacentral:rRNA from 1 species
AGCAGCCGCGGUAAUUCCAGCUCCAAUAGCGUAUAUUAAAGUUGUUGCAGUUAAAAAGCUCGUAGUUGAAUUUCGGGAUCAAUUUAUCGGUCGUGCAAUAGUACGUACUGAUUUUAUUGAUUCCUACCUUCUGAUGAACUAUGGUGUCAUUAAUUUGGUGUCAUAGGGAAUCAGGACUGUUACUUUGAAAAAAUUGAGUGUUUAAAGCAGGCUCACGCUUGAAUACAUUAGCAUGGAAUAACGAAAUAGAACGUUUGAUUCUAUUUUGUUGGUUUCUAGGAUCGACGUAAUGAUUAAUAGGGAUAGUUGGGGGCAGUUAGUAUUCAAUUGUCAGAGGUGAAAUUCUUAGGAUUUAUUGAAAGACUAAACUACUGCGAAAGCAUUUGCCAAGGAUGUUUCAUUAAUCAAGAACGAAAGUUAGGGAUCGAAGACGAUCAGAUACCGUCGUAGUCUUAACCAUAAACUAUACCGACUAGGGACCGAUGAUGUUAAUUUUUAAUGUACUCUAUUCGGCGUCGUU